rnacentral:tRNA from 1 species
CUCCCCAUAGUUCAACAGGAUAGAACGGCCCCCUCCUAAGGGGCAGAUCCAGGUUCGAGUCCUGGUGGGGGGACCA